rnacentral:rRNA from 1 species
AUUGAACGCUGGCGGCAGGCCUAACACAUGCAAGUCGAACGGACGAAGUGUACGUGCUCUUGCUUUCAGCUGCAGAGUGGUGUGCGAUGGCGAGAAAAAUGCGUGGUUACCUUGGCUGGGGGCGGGAAAUAGGCACUAAUACCGCAAACUUCCACAGGAACAAAGUGGGGAAUCCUGGGACCUUACGCUAUCGGUUGAUUCUAGGUCCGAUUAGCUAGUUGGGGGGUUAAAGGCCUACCAAGGCGACGAUCCGCAACUGGUCUGAGAGGAUGAUCAGCCAAACGGGAACUGAGACACGGUCCAGACUCCUACGGGAGGCAGCAUUGGGGAAUAUUGGACAAGGGGCGAAAGCCUGAUCCAGCCAUGCCGCGGGGGUGAAGAAGGUCUUCGGAUUGUAAAGCCCGUUGGGUGGGAAGGAAGGGCAGUAGGUUAAUACCUUGCUGUUUUGACGUUACCAAAAGAAUAAGCACCGGCUAACUUCGUG